GACGAACGCUGGCGGCGUGCUUAACACAUGCAAAUCGAACGAAGAGCGAUGGAAGCUUGCUUCUAUCAAUCUUAGUGGCGAACGGGUGAGUAACGCGUAAUCAACCUGCCCUUCAGAGGGGGACAACAGUUGGAAACGACUGCUAAUACCGCAUACGAUCUAAUCUCGGCAUCGAGGAUAGAUGAAAGGUGGCCUCUACAUGUAAGCUAUCACUGAAGGAGGGGAUUGCGUCUGAUUAGCUAGUUGGAGGGGUAACGGCCCACCAAGGCGAUGAUCAGUAGCCGGUCUGAGAGGAUGAACGGCCACAUUGGGACUGAGACACGGCCCAGACUCCUACGGGAGGCAGCAGUGGGGAAUCUUCCGCAAUGGACGAAAGUCUGACGGAGCAACGCCGCGUGAGUGAUGACGGCCUUCGGGUUGUAAAGCUCUGUUAAUCGGGACGAAAGGCCUUCUUGCGAACAGUUAGAAGGAUUGACGGACCGAAUA
rnacentral:rRNA from 1 species